UACGUAGGUGGCGAGCGUUGUCCGGAUUUACUGGGCGUAAAGAGCGCGCAGGCGGUCGUGCAAGUCGCGUGUGAAAGCCCCCGGCUCAACUGGGGAGGGUCACGCGAUACUGUUCGACUCGAAGGCAGGAGAGGGAAGUGGAAUUCCCGGUGUAGUGGUGGAAUGCGUAGAUAUCGGGGGGAAUACCAGUGGCGAAAGGCGGCACCCUAGCGUUAGCCUCGACGCUCAUUGUCGCGGAAAGCGU
rnacentral:rRNA from 1 species